GGCGUGGCCGCAGGAGAGACAUCAACAACAAGGUGACCUUUAGAAGUCAAACGAAAAGAAUAACAUAUAAUAACGUUAGUUUUUUAAGGAAAAAGUGUUAAAAUACAUAUGUUUUUGAGGGAAAAACCAACAGCACAAAAAGACCUUUGAGAGAAAAGAAAUAUGUGCUUAAAAAUAUACAAUUUCAACGUGGCAUGCUCCUGAAGAUGAAUGUAAAAAACAUUUGAAACCGGUAGAGCCAAAAAUAAAUAACCAUCCAUCUAGUAAAAAAUAAA